rnacentral:miRNA from 1 species
UGCAUUCUUUGAGCUUAGCAUGAUGGCU